UGCGAUGAGUCGAGCUAUCACGCAACUUCGGUUGUUCGCGCAAGCGAUUUAAGUGAUUUUUCGAGCGGGACACAUAUCUACCGUAUUGUAGGUGUCUGAUUAGUUGAGGUUGUGGAGCUU
rfam:Lactobacillus senioris DSM 24302 = JCM 17472 strain DSM 24302 NODE_28, whole genome shotgun sequence.